rnacentral:tRNA from 1 species
GACCACGUAGCUCAGUUGGAUGAGCAUUGGGCUAGUAUUCCAAAGGUCGUAGGUUCGAAUCCCGCCGUGGCCG